GCCGAAACGCUCCAAGUCGGAGCGUCAGCCGGUGGAUGGUCUCCCGGCUCUGAUGAUGGCAGACC
rnacentral:hammerhead_ribozyme from 1 species